rnacentral:rRNA from 1 species
ACGGAAGGCAGCAGUGAGGAAUAUUGGUCAAUGGAGGCAACUCUGAACCAGCCAUCUCGCGUGAAGGAAUACGGCCCUACGGGUCUUAAACUUCUUUUAUAGGGGGAUAAAGUGAGCCACGUGUGGCUUUUUGUAGGUACCCUAUGAAUAAGCAUCGGCUAACUCCGUGCCAGCAGCCGCGGUAAUACGGAGGAUGCGAGCGUUAUCCGGAUUUAUUGGGUUUAAAGGGUGCGCAGGCGGCGCGUCAAGUCAGCGGUAAAAUGUCGGUGCUCAACGCCGGCCGGCCGUUGAAACUGUCGUGCUCGAGUUCGUGCGAGGAGAGCGGAAUGCGUGGUGUAGCGGUGAAAUGCAUAGAUAUCACGCAGAACGCCGAUUGCGAAGGCAGCCCUCCAGCACUGGACUGACGCUGAGGCACGAAAGCGUGGGUAUCGAACAGGAUUAGAUACCCUGGUA